CUCCCCGUAACUCAGCAGCAGAGUCUGUGACUUCUAAUCACAUGGUCGCAGGUGCAAUUCCUGCCGGGGAGA
rnacentral:tRNA from 1 species